CACUCAAGCUGUGCAAGCUAACUGUUAACUUCCCAACACAUAUUAUGUAACAAACUGAAUGGCAUCCAUGGUGAUUUAUCUCUGUCUCUUCCUAUCCUAGAUGAGGAACCCACUCAACCUUUCAAGCCAGGAGACAGAGUACUGAUCACAAAAGCUGAAGAAGAAAAGGCCAACAGACAUUCCCAUUGAACCUCCAAGAACAGCAGUUCUGACAGACGAGAGUUCAACAUAGAUCCACACCUGCAGGAUCAAGAAAGCAUCCAGAAGCCAGAUAAAUUACAAUUCUUAGCCAAGGAUAAACCCUGGCAUUGAGGAGAAAACUUUUUUAGGCAUUUAUAUCCUCAUGCUUGUGCAAUUGCUAUCAAAACCAUUUUGUUUUGCCUCUUUAUGCCUUUACACACUUUUACCAACCACCAUGCAAUAAGACAUACAACAGGCCAGCUUAUCAUCGUGGGAAAUUUACAACAAUUUCAUAUGGGCGGCAAGAAUAGGACACUCUUUAAAUGCCUAAUUGCUAAAGUUUGUUCCCCUAAACCCUACUCUCCCUCCACUACCACCUAUUUUUCAAUGACACCCAAAGGUGUUACCAUCAUUUGAUCAACAGGAAGCUCACUAAAGUCUGCAUGGUCUCCAUGGUCAUGGUAAACCUCCAAUUAUCACACCUCUCUAAUCCCA